rnacentral:tRNA from 1 species
GCAGAAGUGGCGGAAUUGGCAGACGCGCAAGACUAAGGAUCUUGUGGGAAUUUAUUCCUGUAGGGGUUCGAGUCCCCUCUUCUGCA